CAGUAGCCGCGGUAAUACGUAGGGGGCAAGCGUUAUCCGGAAUAACUGGGCGUAAAGGGUGCGCAGGUGGUUUAACAAGUUAGUGGUGAAAGGCAUAGGCUCAACCAAUGUAAGCCAUUAAAACUGUUUAACUUGAGUGCAGGAGAGGAAAGUGGAAUUCCUAGUGUAGCGGUGAAAUGCGUAGAUAUUAGGAGGAAUACCAGUGGCGAAGGCGACUUUCUGGACUGCAACUGACACUGAGGCACGAAAGCGUGGGGAGCAAACAGGAUUAGAUACCCCCGUAGUCCCUGUCUCUUAUACA
rnacentral:rRNA from 1 species